rnacentral:rRNA from 1 species
GUUAAGCGACUAAGCGUACACGGUGGAUGCCCUGGCAGUCAGAGGCGAUGAAGGACGUGCUAAUCUGCGAUAAGCGUCGGUAAGGUGAUAUGAACCGUUAUAACCGGCGAUUUCCGAAUGGGGAAACCCAGUGUGUUUCGACACACUAUCAUUAACUGAAUCCAUAGGUUAAUGAGGCGAACCGGGGGAACUGAAACAUCUAAGUACCCCGAGGAAAAGAAAUCAACCGAGAUUCCCCCAGUAGCGGCGAGCGAACGGGGAGCAGCCCAGAGCCUGAAUCAGUGUGUGUGUUAGUGGAAGCGUCUGGAAAGGCGCGCGAUACAGGGUGACAGCCCCGUACACAAAAAUGCACAUGCUGUGAGCUCGAUGAGUAGGGCGGGACACGUGGUAUCCUGUCUGAAUAUGGGGGGACCAUCCUCCAAGGCUAAAUACUCCUGACUGACCGAUAGUGAACCAGUACCGUGAGGGAAAGGCGAAAAGAACCCCGGCGAGGGGAGUGAAAAAGAACCUGAAACCGUGUACGUACAAGCAGUGGGAGCACGCUUAGGCGUGUGACUGCGUACCUUUUGUAUAAUGGGUCAGCGACUUAUAUUCUGUAGCAAGGUUAACCGAAUAGGGGAGCCGAAGGGAAACCGAGUCUUAACUGGGCGUUAAGUUGCAGGGUAUAGACCCGAAACCCGGUGAUCUAGCCAUGGGCAGGUUGAAGGUUGGGUAACACUAACUGGAGGACCGAACCGACUAAUGUUGAAAAAUUAGCGGAUGACUUGUGGCUGGGGGUGAAAGGCCAAUCAAACCGGGAGAUAGCUGGUUCUCCCCGAAAGCUAUUUAGGUAGCGCCUCGUGAAUUCAUCUCCGGGGGUAGAGCACUGUUUCGGCAAGGGGGUCAUCCCGACUUACCAACCCGAUGCAAACUGCGAAUACCGGAGAAUGUUAUCACGGGAGACACACGGCGGGUGCUAACGUCCGUCGUGAAGAGGGAAACAACCCAGACCGCCAGCUAAGGUCCCAAAGUCAUGGUUAAGUGGGAAACGAUGUGGGAAGGCCCAGACAGCCAGGAUGUUGGCUUAGAAGCAGCCAUCAUUUAAAGAAAGCGUAAUAGCUCACUGGUCGAGUCGGCCUGCGCGGAAGAUGUAACGGGGCUAAACCAUGCACCGAAGCUGCGGCAGCGACGCUGAUGCGUUGUUGGGUAGGGGAGCGUUCUGUAAGCCUGCGAAGGUGUGCUGUGAGGCAUGCUGGAGGUAUCAGAAGUGCGAAUGCUGACAUAAGUAACGAUAAAGCGGGUGAAAAGCCCGCUCGCCGGAAGACCAAGGGUUCCUGUCCAACGUUAAUCGGGGCAGGGUGAGUCGACCCCUAAGGCGAGGCCGAAAGGCGUAGUCGAUGGGAAACAGGUUAAUAUUCCUGUACUUGGUGUUACUGCGAAGGGGGGACGGAGAAGGCUAUGUUGGCCGGGCGACGGUUGUCCCGGUUUAAGCGUGUAGGCUGGUUUUCCAGGCAAAUCCGGAAAAUCAAGGCUGAGGCGUGAUGACGAGGCACUACGGUGCUGAAGCAACAAAUGCCCUGCUUCCAGGAAAAGCCUCUAAGCAUCAGGUAACAUCAAAUCGUACCCCAAACCGACACAGGUGGUCAGGUAGAGAAUACCAAGGCGCUUGAGAGAACUCGGGUGAAGGAACUAGGCAAAAUGGUGCCGUAACUUCGGGAGAAGGCACGC